GAGUAAUGUCUGGGAAACUGCCUGAUGGAGGGGGAUAACUACUGGAAACGGUGGCUAAUACCGCAUAACGUCGCAAGACCAAAGAGGGGGACCUUCGGGCCUCUUGCCAUCAGAUGUGCCCAGAUGGGAUUAGCUUGUUGGUGAGGUAACGGCUCACCAAGGCGACGAUCCCUAGCUGGUCUGAGAGGAUGACCAGCCACACUGGAACUGAGACACGGUCCAGACUCCUACGGGAGGCAGCAGUGGGGAAUAUUGCACAAUGGGCGCAAGCCUGAUGCAGCCAUGCCGCGUGUAUGAAGAAGGCCUUCGGGUUGUAAAGUACUUUCAGCGGGGAGGAAGGUGUUGUGGUUAAUAACCGCAGCAAUUGACGUUACCCGCAGAAGAAGCACCGGCUAACUCCGUGCCAGCAGCCGCGGUAAUACGGAGGGUGCAAGCGUUAAUCGGAAUUACUGGGCGUAAAGCGCACGCAGGCGGUCUGUCAAGUCGGAUGUGAAAUCCCCGGGCUCAACCUGGGAACUGCAUUCGAAACUGGCAGGCUUGAGUCUUGUAGAGGGGGGUAGAAUUCCAGGUGUAGCGGUGAAAUGCGUAGAGAUCUGGAGGAAUACCGGUGGCGAAGGCGGCCCCCUGGACAAAGACU
rnacentral:rRNA from 1 species